CUCCCAUAUGCAGCCAACAGCUGCUUGUGACCAUGGGUGUUGCAUGAUCAACGAAUGGUAACAUAAAAUAUUUAAACCUACCGAAAGAAUUGAGAAUUUCAGCAAUUUUCUCUUGUCUGGAUGCUUGGUUUGAUUGGCUAUUGAGGGAAAAAAAAGCCAGUUGUGCAUAAACUCCAUCUGUUCUUAUGGGGCAGUAUGUACGUAAUUGGGAGCAAAACUUAAAGGGAUAUGUGAGCAAUGCAAUUGGAAAAACAGAAGAACCGAAUAUGGUAUCAGAAUCCCAUUUGAUGCACAGAGGGGGCUGCAGUAACUGGAGAGCAAUCAACUUUCUGCAAAUGUAUUAUCAGAAGAAAUUGAUCCUUUACAUGUAAAAGGAAAAACCUUGGAAAAAAAAAAUAAAGCUUUUAAAAUUAUGCUUCCAUUUUACAACACUGUGUAAUUUGAUUAUACAAACUACACCUCUGCAGAUGUUUCACUGAAAUGUUUUUCUCUCCGUACCCAGCAGAGCAAGGAUACAGACCUUACUAACAGUGGGAUGAGAUGCACAGUGUUAGCUGUUUCAUAGGUGAUUGACACGUCUUACAUUAUUUGUUCUUCUGGUCUGUGAUGCACCCUAGAAACCUCUACAUUUCUUUGGGCCUGAUGCAAUUUUGCAGACUUGCAGAAGGGCUCUGGUGAAGUCAUACAUGUGCCACAACAUCUGAAUGGAUCUGAGGAACGGAAAUGAAAGAGGGGAGGAGAGGAAGCACUGAGCUCUACUUUCCACAAAACAAGGCCUCUGGAAAUAAGACAGUGUUGAAAUCUCUGCAUUUAUUGCGAUGUGCUUAAAAAGUCCUUUAUAGUUCAGGCAAGAAUGAUGCUUGCCCUGGCAAGCUUACACGCUAAUUGAAACCUCUGUAUUCAUGUGUCUGCACAACACAGCAAAAUGGAGAGCCACAGCAAUGGAAAUAGUGUGACGUUGCUCAGGUCAAAAUACGCAUUACAAGAGCAUCAGCCAGGAGAAAAAGGAAAAAUCAGAGCCCACCAAUGCUCAGGAAAAUGGACAAAGUGGAACAGGAAUGGUGCAGAUCCAGAGGAGAAGCAAAAUACUUCAUGUUUCAGAAGAAGCUGGAGAAAUCUCUCCAAACGCUUCUCUACUUGUUUGUGGUCCACACUGACAUAGGAACUUCCCCUUUUUAAGUAAGGGGACAGUGAGAUUCAGAUGUCUAUACAAGAGCUUGCAGCAGCUGUUCCAGAUGCCCUCUGAAGGUGUCAGAGACAUCCAGACAGAGUGGGCUGACGUGAUGCAGGAACUCUGAGACAAAAGCGACAUGGAGAUUUGAGCAGGUACCAAACAGGAUACCAGAAG